rnacentral:lncRNA from 1 species
AACACAUCAAAACGGAAAAGGAAAUGUAAGCAGUGUUUGCCGUCCAAAGUUCACAUCAACAAUUCCUUAUUAGGAAGGCAAUUCUGAGCCUUUCCUCCUGCAUCUGGGAGCUGCCAGCAACCCAGUUCCAGGAGAGAAAAUAGCUUGACACCUCCUGCGGCCCAUGGAGUCCUCCCGUUGGGACAAGGACCCCCCAGGAGAGAGAAGACCCCAGCAGAGUCAACACUGGAGGGCCAGGGACCAUGGUGCCCGGGGCUGUGGACCACGCCAGCCCACAGCCACUGCAAGCCCCAGACCGGGGCUGUGGAUAACGCCAGCCCACGGCAGCCACACGCCCCAGACCAACACGAGAAGAACGCAGGCCGACAACAUCUUCAUCUAUGCUCUCGCCACACUCAGUCAAUGUCCACUGGGGGCCUCAGGGGCACCUCCACCUGCCCAGGUCUGGGACCACCGUCCUCCACGCAUAUCUACAGACCCUGUCCUCACCUGCAUCACACCAAUGAUGGCGUCACAGCGUGGGUUCCGGUCACCAGUCGGCCUCCCCCACCAACGUGGACUCCUUACAAGCAGAGCCACCAACGUGGACACGAUCCCAUCAGGAACCACCUACUUUUGCAUCCCCAGCACUGUGCUCAGGUCCCAGGGAGGCCCCAGCAAACUGUGGAACAACCAAACUCGUGACUGAAUGAACAAGUAUGUUAAGUCGUUAAGUAAAAAUAGCAGAAGACUUAGUAGAAUGUAUGAGUAACAAUUACAAUUAUAUGAAAAUCCGUAUCCACGUGAAGGUAUUAUGCAAAAAAAGCUUAACUUUGUUUCAGUGCCUUUCCAGUUAAAUGUUGUUAAGCAGUAUUUCCCCCAAAAGGUGCAUCUUUUAUAAAACAAGAACGCAAGGCUCUGAGGCCAACUUUGAACAUUUAUUUGAGUGAAUUCACGUCCCCCAAAUUUUCCGUAUCCCAAAAUCUGGACUUUUGCUAAAUGGUGCCCUUAGCACAGGAGUCUCUCCAAGGAAGUGGCCUGAGCUGAGAGGGGGCCUGGCAUCGCCCACCCAGGUCAUCAGUCAUCAUCAGCAGCAGCUGCGGCAUGAGAGAGAUGGUGUGGGGCGAAACCAAUGGGGAAACUACAAAAGAAACCACCUGCUACUGCAAACGGCCUCGCUGUACUCAGGGAGUCGGUUCCAGGACCCCAUGGACACCAAAUCCAGGCACACUCACGCCCCACAAGUGGACCUGCCGAACCUGCGUGUACAGAGUCGGCCCUCCGACACACGUUUCACAUGGCAGGAACACUGUAUUUUCUCCCUGAGUUUGGUUGAAAAAAUUCACAUAUAAGUUGACCCACAAAGCUCAAGCUUGUGUGGUACAAGAGUCAACUGUAUGCAAUUGACACUGAUUCCUACCAACGAUAUCCAAAUCUUAGCAUGAGCAGCACGAUAAACAGAAUGAGCAAAAUUCAAAAACUAAAGCAGCGUUUUUCCUGCAAGUGGGCGCACUGCGUAUCCCCUGCGGGAAAGACCACGCUGGCUGCUGACCAAACUCCACUGGCAUCUUCCUCCAUCCUGAGGGCAUCUUCCUCGGCAUCUUCCUCCAUCGACAGCAGCCUGGGCUCACCUCCCAGCCCGAGGCUGAGAACUGAGUUCCAGUCCCGGGGUGGGGUGGCGGGGGGGCGCACUGUGCACCCUCCCAGCUCUCCUCCACCCCUUCCCUCAGGCUGGCCCAAGAAUAGCCUGGACAAUCACCUGCUGGGGACACCGGGCUGCCCCUCCUCCGCCCACAGCCUCAGGCCACCUGUCUCAUCCGUGACCGAGAAACGGAGCUGCAGUGGGAGGCGGGACAUGCUGGGAUCUACCCAUGGCCAGGCCAAGCUGCGCCAAUCACUCAAGCUUCACUUUGAUCACUUGCUCUACCAAAUAAAACAGAACAAAAUAA